rnacentral:rRNA from 1 species
UACGUAGGGUGCGAGCGUUGUCCGGAAUUAUUGGGCGUAAAGAGCUCGUAGGCGGUCUGUCGCGUCGGAUGUGAAAAUCCAGGGCUUAACCCUGGGCCUGCAGUGGGUACGGGCAGACUAGAGUGCGGUAGGGGAGACUGGAAUUCCUGGUGUAGCGGUGAAAUGCGCAGAUAUCAGGAGGAACACCGGUGGCGAAGGCGGGUCUCUGGGCCGGUACUGACGCUGAGACGCGAAAGCGUGGGGAGCGAACAGG